ACCGCUUCUCGGCCUUUUACAGCUAACAAUAAGCUCAUCUGUGUAGUUUUUGUUCUUGUCAGUGUAAUAUUCGAUACACUCCUCAUUAAGGAGUCGAAGUAUUAACUUGAUUUUUGGGAUUGUUCCUCCUCUGUUCCGAGUCAGCUUAACAUUGCCGUGACGUUGGGAUUGAUUAUACGUAA